rnacentral:lncRNA from 9 species
AUCCGUGGGAACACAGGUUCGAUCCCUGCACUCUCCCAGCUAGGGGUCUAAUCAGAGCGGUUGCUGCCGGCCUACACCACAGCCAUAGCAAUGCCAGGUCCUUAACCCAACGAGUGGGGCAAGGGAUCGAACCUGCAACUUCGUGGUUCCUAGUCGGAUUCGUUUCCAUUGUGCUAUGAUGGGAACUCCUAUUUUUAAUGUUUUAGUUUUUUAAUUUUACUUGACUUAAUUUUUUAUGGUUUUCUUCUAUUUUUUAUUUAUUUUUAAUUUUUUAGUUUUUUAAAUUUUAGUUGCUGUCAUUUUCUGCUAUACAGUAAAGUAUCCCAGUUAUACACACACACACAUAUGUAUAUAUAUAGAUACACACAUUCUGUUUUUCACAUUAUCCUCCAUCAUGUUCCAUCAAAAGUGAUCAGAUACAGUUCAUACGGUAUUUUUAAAUUGUCUCCUCUUGUUCCCUCCCUCUGAAAGGUGAGUUCCAGGAAGGCAAGGAUUCUAGUCUGUUCUCUUUAUUGAUGAACCCCUAUAUCCUCUAAAGUGCUUGACACACUCACUUUUUAUUGAUGAACCCCUAUAUCCUCUAAAGUGCUUGACACACUCAAAAACCCUGGGAAUGAAUAAUCCUAAUAGAGCUGGGAAAAGGAUUUGAAAAGAAAGUUGUAUGUGAACCAAACCAAAGAAGGGAUGGAAAUUUGCAGGGGGGAUACAGGCUUCCAGUAGAAGGAUAAACCACAAGAAAAGGCACCAACCACAUGCCUAGGAAGUUAAGAGUGGCUGGGGUGGCUAGAGAGCCAGGGUUAUGGGGGUAGAAAGGGUGCAGGAUUGAGGAAGAUGGCGGGGAAAUAGGAAAUGAAAGAAGUUAGGGCCGGAUGGCAAAGGGCCUGAUAAAAAUUAAAAUUAGCAGACAGAUGAGUUUGCUUUGCUAAAUCAAAAGGAGGAUUUUCUUUCUUAAAGGCAGUGACUCUUUUCCCGACUUUUAUGACUUUUGCUUAGAAACCAAAUCUUCAAAGCUACUAAUGAUGUCAACCUUUCAGAAAGCCAGCUGUCCUCAUUUUUGUAAUUGAGGUCAUAUUCACACCACCGAAUCUGUGCUAAGGUUCAGCAGCAGAGGGUGAUGAUGGGAAAGUGGUGUGACAGUGGACAGUCAACUGUGAUUAGCCAGGGCUGUUUCAGUUUGUGAGCAUGAAGUUGUCAAGGUGUGUGUGACCACACCUCCCCUUGUUAGGCCAGCUGAGGAACCUGGGGAGGGAUCGGCGCUUGGGAGCAUUAUUCUCUUGAAUGGUGAAUGAUGGUAGAGCCAGCCCUGAUAUUGGUGAAUAAGGUGGAGGGAGAUGUCACAGAUGCCAUCAACUUCCAUGAAGAUGCAGUCUGGUGAACUGGGAAAGUAAUGACCGGAAGAGGCAGUGAGGAGAAGGACAGCAGGAGAGCAGGACCAUCUCAGCCUCUGGUCCUGAUGUUGGAGAAGGAGCAGCUGCACUGGGAAGAUUUUGAGGAUAAAUUUUGAGCUUGAGGAAAAUGAAGUUACAUUUAACGUGAGAAAAUAAAAGAGAAAUGUGAUUGAUUCUGUAGUGUGUAACACAGAUAAUGAGAUAUGAUAUCACUUACAUGUAGAAUCUAAAAAUAUGAUACAAAUGAACUUAAUUGCAGGACAGAAACAGACUCACAGAGUCUGAAAACAAACUUAUGGAUACCAAAGGGGCAGGUGAUAGGGAGAGGGAUGACUGGGGGUUUGGGACUGGCAUGUGCACACUGUGGUAUAUGGAAUGACCGGCCAACAGGGACCUGCUAUAUAGCACAGAGAACUCUAUCCAACAUUCUGAGAUCAUCUAUGUGGGAAAAGAUUCUGAGAGAGAACAGAUGUGUGUACAUGUAUAACUGGAUCACUUUGUUGUACAGCAAAAAUCAUCACAACAUUGUAAAUCAACUAUAGUUCAAUAAAACUUUAAAAAACGAAUAAAGCAAAAAAAAAAAAAAAAAAAAA